UGGGGAAUCUUGCGCAAUGCGCGAAAGCGUGACGCAGCAACGCCGCGUGGGGGAAGAAGGCCUUCGGGUUGUAAACCUCUUUCAGUUGGGACGAAGGUACGGCGGUGAAUAGCCGUCCGGACUGACGGUACCUUCAGAAGAAGCCCCGGCUAACUACGUGCCAGCAGCCGCGGUAAUACGUAGGGGGCAAGCGUUGUCCGGAAUCAUUGGGCGUAAAGCGCGUGUAGGCGGCCCGGUAAGUCCGCUGUGAAAGUCCAGGGCUCAACCCUGGAAUGCCGGUGGAUACUGUCGGGCUCGAGUCCGGAAGAGGCGAGUGGAAUUCCUGGUGUAGCGGUGAAAUGCGCAGAUAUCAGGAGGAACACCGAUGGCGAAGGCAGCUCGCUGGGACGUGACUGACGCUGAGACGCGAAAGCGUGGGGAGCAAACAG
rnacentral:rRNA from 1 species